AUUGAACGCUGGCGGCAUGCCUUACACAUGCAAGUCGAACGGCAGCACGGGGGCGAACCCUGGUGGCGAGUGGCGAACGGGUGAGUAAUAUAUCGGAACGUGCCCGUAGAGUGGGGGAGUAACGUAGCGAAAGUUACGCUAAUACCGCAUACGAUCUACGGAUGAAAGUGGGGGAUCGCAAGACCUCAUGCUCGUGGAGCGGCCGAUAUCUGAUUAGCUAGUUGGUAGGG
rnacentral:rRNA from 1 species